CGCACGGGAGGAAGGCAGGCCCGCGCUCCCUUCGCCCUCUGCCUCAGCAUCUCGGGGCUGAGCGCUCACGGAGGAUGGCUCUCUUGCUUGAGCGGCUCAGGGACCGUCUGGUAGCCGGAUGUGGCCCAGCUGCUGCGCCCCCACUCCCGUCCCAGGCCCGGUCCUACCUGUGGUAGGCUUCCAGAGUACCUUGUAAAAGCAGAGCAGAAAAAGCCUUUUGUGGACCCUGGAAGGACGCGGCCUGGUAACGCAGCCCUCGGUUUCCUGAACUCAAAAGAUAGGUGCAGAAUGAAAUUAGAGAUGACUGUGUUGGAGAGAGGAGGUGGGAUUCUGGAAUCAUCAAAACUAGAAGGACCAUCAGAUAUCCUUAGGACAAGCUCCACACCCAACACAAUUAUCCUGACUAUUUCUAGAGAUACUGCAGAUCAGCCCAUGCUUUUCUCUUCCGGCUGGGAUUCAGUGCAUGGCAAGGCAUCUGUCUUGUUCUGUUUUGUUUUGUUUUGGACAGCUCUUUUAUAAAGUUCUUUAUUUGGAGCCCAA